GAUAGACCUGCAGGGAAGCCGUGGCCGGGUGGAGGGGCGACGGUAACGUACCCGAAGAGCGGCGGUAACUCCUCCCCCUCGAGCAGCUGGGCCGAGGGCCAGGGGGAGCUACGAGAGCAGCUCCCCCGGCUCCGCCUCCCGCUCACGCUCCGCUUCCGCCUUCCGUCCCCGCCGUGGCCGCCGACCUACGCCUACUUCCACUUCCGGGGUCACCAGGGAAGCGACGGGAAGGAAACGAGAGAGCGGUUGGCGGAGGCGCGAGCGGGCGGGCCCGCGCGGAGUCCGGGCGGCGGAGGCGGGCCCGCGGCGGGACUGGCCCCGCCCCUUAAAGGGCCCUCGGCCGCCGCCCUCCACGGACGGGAGCGCGGUCCCCGCGAGCUGCGCCGCCGGGGGGCGCUGGCGCAGCCGAGACCGGGGGGCAGAGGACGGCCGCCGAGCCGAGACCGCUUCCCUGGCGGACAAAACCGGGAAGCGUGGAGGAGCCACCGCCCCGACCCUUUCCCUGCGGCCUGUGGCGAAGACAGAGACCCUCCCGCGCCACGCGGGGCUGGAGNCCCCGGCCUCCCGGCCCCCGCGCCGGUCUUCCCGGCCGUCGUGGCCUCCCCAGCGCCUGGCCCGGCUGGCGAGCUGCCCGCCGCCACUGCGGCUCCCACGGCCCGAUCCCGCCCUGGACGCAGCCCCGAGGCCCCGUCGCGGAGCGGCCCCGAGGGGCUCGGGACCAGCCGGCCGAGAAACCCCGCUCUCAGCCGCGGGCCGCUUCGCGUCUCAUUUGCAUACCGAGCUGCCCUCGGUCGACGCUCGCCUCCGCCCCCGCCCCCGUGCAGACCCGGGGGUCCCCUCCCUGGCGGCGCCCCGUGUGCGCGCCGCCCCCCUUGGUCCCCCUUCCAGACCCCGUCUCGCUCCGCGAGCUUUUCCGCCCCUGAGCCCCUGGCCGGCGCCCCCCGUCCUGCGAAAGCCCCUUCCCCGCGUCCCGGAUCUCGACCACCGGGCUCUUCGGAAGACAAUACUCCAAUUCUCUGGGAAGUGGAAGAAACCAAGCCGGGGCUAGGGGGGCGCUGGGACCCCAGUUGGGGCUUUGAGACCUCCUAG
rnacentral:lncRNA from 1 species